GAUGAACGCUAGCGGCAGGCUUAACACAUGCAAGUCGUGGGGCAGCGCGGACUUCGGUCUGGCGGCGACCGGCAAACGGUGCGGAACACGUACGCAACCUCCCUCAGAGCGGGGAAUAGCCUCUCGAAAGAGAGAUUAAUACCCCAUAGUAUCUUGAAGACACAUGUCUAUGAGAUUAAAGCUUCGGCACUUUGAGAUGGGCGUGCGGCUGAUUAGGUAGUUGGUAGGGUAACGGCCUACCAAGCCGACGAUCAGUAGCUGAUGUGAGAGCAUGAUCAGCCACACGGGCACUGAGACACGGGCCCGACUCCUACGGGAGGCAGCAGUGAGGAAUAUUGGUCAAUGGAGGAAACUCUGAACCAGCCAUGCCGCGUGGAGGAUGAAGGUCCUCUGGAUUGUAAACUCC
rnacentral:rRNA from 1 species